UACGAAGGGGGCUAGCGUUGCUCGGAAUCACUGGGCGUAAAGCGCACGUAGGCGGAUUGCUAAGUCAGGGGUGAAAUCCUGGAGCUCAACUCCAGAACUGCCUUUGAUACUGGCGAUCUUGAGUCCGGGAGAGGUGAGUGGAACUGCGAGUGUAGAGGUGAAAUUCGUAGAUAUUCGCAAGAACACCCAUGGCGAAGGCAGCUCUCUGGCCUCACCCUGACGCUGAGGCGCGAAAGCGUGGGGAGCGAACGGG
rnacentral:rRNA from 1 species